rnacentral:misc_RNA from 1 species
GAUGAAGAACGUAGCGAAAUGCGAUACUUGGUGUGAAUUGCAGAAUCCCGUGAACCAUCGAGUCUUUGAACGCAAGUUGCGCCCGAAGCCACUAGGCCGAGGGCACGCCUGCCUGGGCGUCACACGCCGUUGCCCCCCCAUCAACUCCUUCGGGAUUGCGGGGGGGCGGAUGAUGGCCUCCUGUGCGCCUAGCCGCGCGGUUGGCAUAAAUACCAAGUCCUCGGCGACGCACGCCACGACAAUCGGUGGUUGCGAAACCUCGGUUGCACGUCGUGUGCGUUCGUCGCGCAUCGAGGGCUCGAAAAAAUGCUCGGCUCCGGCUGGGCUUUCAACGCGACCCCAGGUCAGGCGGGGUUACCCGCUGAAUUUAAGCAUAUCAAUAAGCGGAGGA